rnacentral:rRNA from 1 species
GGUAGGGGAGCGUUCUGUAAGCCUGCGAAGGUGGCCUGUGAGGGUUGCUGGAGGUAUCAGAAGUGCGAAUGCUGACAUAAGUAACGAUAAAGCGGGUGAAAAGCCCGCUCGCCGGAAGACCAAGGGUUCCUGUCCAACGUUAAUCGGGGCAGGGUGAGUCGACCCCUAAGGCGAGGCCGAAAGGCGUAGUCGAUGGGAAACGGGUUAAUAUUCCCGUACUUGGUGUUACUGCGAAGGGGGGACGGAGAAGGCUAUGUUGGCCGGGCGACGGUUGUCCCGGUUUAAGCGUGUAGGUGUGUGUUCCAGGUAAAUCCGGUUCACUUUAACACUGAGGCGUGACGACGAGGCACUACGGUGCUGAAGCAACAAAUGCCCUGCUUCCAGGAAAAGCCUCUAAGCAUCAGGUAACAUCAAAUCGUACCCCAAACCGACACAGGUGGUCAGGUAGAGAAUACCAAGGCGCUUGAGAGAACUCGGGUGAAGGAACUAGGCAAAAUGGUGCCGUAACUUCGGGAGAAGGCACGCUGACAUGUAGGUGAAGUGAUUUACUCAUGGAGCUGAAGUCAGUCGAAGAUACCAGCUGGCUGCAACUGUUUAUUAAAAACACAGCACUGUGCAAACACGAAAGUGGACGUAUACGGUGUGACGCCUGCCCGGUGCCGGAAGGUUAAUUGAUGGGGUCAGCGCAAGCGAAGCUCCUGAUCGAAGCCCCGGUAAACGGCGGCCGUAACUAUAACGGUCCUAAGGUAGCGAAAUUCCUUGUCGGGUAAGUUCCGACCUGCACGAAUGGCGUAAUGAUGGCCAGGCUGUCUCCACCCGAGACUCAGUGAAAUUGAACUCGCUGUGAAGAUGCAGUGUACCCGCGGCAAGACGGAAAGACCCCGUGAACCUUUACUAUAGCUUGACACUGAACAUUGAGCCUUGAUGUGUAGGAUAGGUGGGAGGCUUUGAAGUGUGGACGCCAGUCUGCAUGGAGCCGACCUUGAAAUACCACCCUUUAAUGUUUGAUGUUCUAACGUGGACCCGUAAUCCGGGUUGCGGACAGUGUCUGGUGGGUAGUUUGACUGGGGCGGUCUCCUCCUAAAGAGUAACGGAGGAGCACGAAGGUUGGCUAAUCCUGGUCGGACAUCAGGAGGUUAGUGCAAUGGCAUAAGCCAGCUUGACUGCGAGCGUGACGGCGCGAGCAGGUGCGAAAGCAGGUCAUAGUGAUCCGGUGGUUCUGAAUGGAAGGGCCAUCGCUCAACGGAUAAAAGGUACUCCGGGGAUAACAGGCUGAUACCGCCCAAGAGUUCAUAUCGACGGCGGUGUUUGGCACCUCGAUGUCGGCUCAUCACAUCCUGGGGCUGAAGUAGGUCCCAAGGGUAUGGCUGUUCGCCAUUUAAAGUGGUACGCGAGCUGGGUUUAGAACGUCGUGAGACAGUUCGGUCCCUAUCUGCCGUGGGCGCUGGAGAACUGAGGGGGGCUGCUCCUAGUACGAGAGGACCGGAGUGGACGCAUCACUGGUGUUCGGGUUGUCAUGCCAAUGGCACUGCCCGGUAGCUAAAUGCGGAAGAGAUAAGUGCUGAAAGCAUCUAAGCACGAAACUUGCCCCGA